CCACACAGAGAGGGUUGGAGCGGAGGACUGCGUGGGUUUAUCAGUUUCUGGACAAUCUAGGAUACAUGGCAUGAUUUACCACCAAUGUUGGAAAGAACAAGAGUGAAAAGUCCCACGUUACCAAAGUUUGUGAUUAGAUGGAAAGCGCUGAUUCUGUGGAAGCUCUGUGAGAAUAGACUCUGAGACACUGCAUGAUGUUACAGACAGCCGGUGGUCUGAGACAUGUGGUUAGUCUUGAAGAAAAGAGCAGAGUUAUGUCAGACUACCUGAGAUGGUAUAUUAUCGACUGCAACUCCUGCGUAAUCCACAGAAGUGCCUCACAGCUGGAGUAACCUCCUGCAGGUUUGUUGAAGAGCGUAAUAAAGUAAAAACAGUUCCUGAGGUCCAGUCACACCAACUCUUACUCCAGCUGAGAGUGUGACCAGGCAGCAUUUAACACCAUGAAGG